rnacentral:rRNA from 1 species
GAUGAACGCUGGCGGCGUGCCUAAUACAUGCAAGUCGAGCGAACGGACGAGAAGCUUGCUUCUCUGAUGUUAGCGGCGGACGGGUGAGUAACACGUGGAUAACCUACCUAUAAGACUGGGAUAACUUCGGGAAACCGGAGCUAAUACCGGAUAAUAUUUUGAACCGCAUGGUUCAAAAGUGGAAGACGGUCUUGCUGUCACUUAUAGACGGAUCCGCGCUGCAUUAGCUAGUUGGUAAGGUAACGGCUUACCAAGGCAACGAUGCAUAGCAGACCUGAGAGGGUGAUCGGCCACACUGGAACUGAGACGCGGUCCAGACUCCUACGGGAGGCAGCAGUAGGGAAUCUUCCGCAAUGGGCGAAAGCCUGACGGAGCAACGCCGCGUGAGUGAUGAAGGUCUUCGGAUCGUAAAACUCUGUUAUUAGGGAAGAACAUAUGUGUAAGUAACUGUGCACAUCUUGACGGUACCUAAUCAGAAAGCCACGGCUAACUACGUG